AAUGCAAAAUCUGAAUGGUAGAAACUGGAAGUGCUGAGAAGAUGCUGGGACAGACAUGAGGGCUAGAGUGGAACAAUGCGAGGGCCUCAUCCCCCCAACCUUAGCGAUUCUAUGAUGCUACGAUACCAAAGAACACAAUGCUGCAGAGGAGAGAGAAUUCGUGAUAUCAUUCUCAUGAAGCCCUUGUUUUACAGCCGAACAAGCAAUAAUGAGGCUGUAGAUCUACGUCUUCUUCUUAGAAUCCAAAAGGCUUUACAGAGUCUGUUGGAUGAAUUUCAAUACCCUGAUCAAGUCCAAGGAGGAAAUAAACUCUUCCAGAAAUUCUUCUUUGUGUCUGGCUGCAGCUCAAAGGAACCUUAUGGACCAUCUGUCCCUCCUAUCCUCUCAACCCCCACAUGCCACCACCGAUAAGACAUCAAUCUGCGAAGCAGCUCUGGGAGAGGUUUUUUACCUAGUUUCUCCAGGAAAACAUCCGAGUGAUUCCUCUGCAGAAUCUGUCUGCUCUCUCUGUCUGCUGGGGAAAAGGAAUAUCGACAUCUCACCAUCUCUACUAUAGUCUGGACAUUCUUCUCUUGAUGGAUGCAAGUGAAUUUGCAAGAACUUCAGACAAAGCCAAGAAUGAAUUAACCAAAUCCAAUUCAAGGAGGACAGUGAUAAACAAGGAAUAGCUUCUGAGACCACCGAAGGUUUGGAAAACAUUACUUACAGUGAGAAAAAACAGAAGAAAGGAACUUAAAGUCUAAGAACUCAGUUUAUCACAGUCUAUGGCAAUAUGAAUCUUUUGAGGUGCUGCUCAAGGUCAAGAAAAGAUGCUAGCACCGAGGAUGUCUUUGGGGUCACUUCCUGAAUGUUUUCUCUUGGUGGGAUCAACCGUAAUAUGAUGCUGAGAUAAAAAUGACUGGGGGCAGCAUUUGUUUCAGAGUUCACACUGUGGCUCUUCCUAAAAGUUUCCAAAUAAAGCCUCUGUUCAGAGGCGGUAACUCCAUGGAGAGAAGCACUGAUCUCUUCUCAAAUAUUCUUUUGCAAAGAGUUUUUUUUGCAUAGUCAUGCAGCUUACAGACAGAAGUUACUCUGAACUCUUCUAUAUCACAGAUGCUUUCACUCAGUUGAUCUGUUCCUUUUGUUUGCCUUCCAGCACGACAUCCGCUCAUGAGCUGAAAGACACCAAGAGCAUCACAUGGAGAUGCUGCUGGGAGUCUUGCUCACCUCAAUCCUAUGGCUCCUUAUGGAGUCAACACUUCCAGGCUGUCACCCUGCUGCACUCAAUAGCUUUCUACUUGGACAGCAUUAGACAUCAAGUUUUUUUGUGUUGUCACUGUUGUUAAAACAUGGCUCAUUUAUAACUAAAUAAGGACUUGGUACCUUCAACUUACUUAAAAGGAUAGGACUCUUCACUGAUGUUUCACCAGGGCUCUGCUUCAAUUCACAUGAAUUCUGAGGACUAGCAGGAGCAGGAAGAAGGUUAAUAAUCCAAAAGUCAUCUGGGAGCCAGCCUGUUCACUGCCAGCUCACAUGAAAGAAGCUACUCUUGUGCCAACAAACAUGACCUCCAUAAAUUAGAAUUAUGAAAAUAUCCCAUUCAGCCUAGAUGGGAACCAUGGAAAUUUUGCAAGUUGAUCUAUUUUCUGCUUUUUCCAUUCACACCCCCGACAGAAAGUAAAUAACCAAAGAAAGGAAAUUUUUCAUGACUUGAGGGCAGGCAGUAUACCAGAGGAAGGAGUUCUGUGCAGAAGGAAUGGCAAGGACUCCCCGUAGGAGCCCUCCUUCCAUGUUUCAUGGACACUCAACAGCCAAAAAUGUUCCAGUGGGGUGAUCACUGAUCCUUGGGAGGAAAAAGGACAGAAGGUUUUCUCCUCCACUGUGUAUCACAAGUCUGGUCUAAGGAUUUAAUUUACAGAUACAAACACCUAUAUUCUCUUUGCAUAAACGUCUAUGUCAUCCUUUAUCUAGGUGCCUGAGCCAAUACCAUGCAGAACUCAUUUUACACAUAUAUAAACAGUCCUUUCUUUAUAAACCAAACUUAAAAUAUGGUCUAAGACUAAAACUUGAUUUACAUGAAGAGUCCUCUUUUCUUGAUAACUCCAUCACGUGAAAUGCCCUUUCCCUGUUCUUCAACUUACAGAGUGAUGCCAUGUCAAGUUUCCUACUCUUCUAACACCAGGAUGCAAUGCCCAAGGUCAUCACCUUGCUUCUCCUGAGAAAUGCCUCAAGAUUAACACUCCUUCAGACUUUUAGAAGAGGGCACAGCACUCAUUUCAUGGUCCUCUAGCUUAAGUUGUGACAACUCUUCAAUUUGGGAAACAAGCACCAUUAAGGAAACCUGAAAAAUGCAACCUACACUUGUGCUGUGUUUACCUAUCAUCUCUCCUAGAGCGAAUGAGUUGUAUUAAACACCAACAAGGAACAGAACCAGCUACAGGAAAAGUUUGCUUUAUUGAGCAUUAAUAAAACUAAUGGAGU
rnacentral:lncRNA from 7 species